rnacentral:sRNA from 1 species
CAAUAAACCUGAUGGGAAUGGCAGCUCCCGAUUGUUCAUCGGGACUACAAUGUACAGCAGGACUAAAA